GACGAACGCUGGCGGCGUGCCUAAUACAUGCAAGUAGAACGCUGAAGGAGGAGCUUGCUCUUCUGGAUGAGUUGCGAACGGGUGAGUAACGCGUAGGUAACCUGCCUGGUAGCGGGGGAUAACUAUUGGAAACGAUAGCUAAUACCGCAUAAGAGUAGAUGUUGCAUGACAUUUACUUAAAAGGUGCAAUUGCAUCACUACCAGAUGGCCCUGAGUUGUUUUAGCUAGUUGGUGGGGUAACGGCUUACCAAGGCGACGAUACAUAGGCGACCUGAGAGGGUGAUCGGCCACACUGGGACUGAGACACGGCCCAGACUCCUACGGGAAGGAGCAGUAGGGAAACUUCGGAAAUGGACGGAAGUCUGACCGAGCAACGCCGCGGGAGUGAAGAAGGUUUUCGGAUCGGAAAGCUCUGUUGUAAGAGAAGAACGAGUGUGAGAGUGGAAAGUUCACACUGUGACGGUAUCUAACCAGAAAGGGACGGCUAACUACGUG
rnacentral:rRNA from 1 species